UUCUCUACAAAGUCAUUUCACUUCAAUAAAGGAUCUAUCUUUUCCCUCACUUAGCAUUUUCGAUCAAUCUCAUUUCUCCCUCAAGUUACUCUCUAGUUCCAACAAACCCAAAGAAAUCCAAGUGCAGAGCUCAGCCAUAUUGCGAAUGGAUCAAAUUGCCACAAAACUCAGAUUUCAGCAACUCAAACCAGAGGUUUCAUCUUUGAAUCUCUCUACCUAUUUUAUACUUGCUCAUUCAGUUAUGACACUGCAAUUGUAACACAUCAAACCUUCACAUACUUUCAUCUCAUCAUUUCGGUGCAUAUGUAUACACAUUCAUAAAGAACAACAAUUUCUUAAAAUCACCAAGUGUUCAGACAUACAAUUUAUGUGCAUAUAGAUACAUAUAUGAAGCAUGCCAAUUUUGAUGUAUUUUUGAAAAAUGGAGUCGAGAGGGAGGCUAGGCGCUGCGGCUCUGCCGUUGCUGCCUAGCCACGGUGAAGAGUGGGGAAGGAGAUGCGGUCGGUGGUGGUGGUUAGCCACUGCCGGAGACGAGGGAGAACAGAAGGGAAUGGGGUGCUGACGGUGGUGGCGUGGAGCCCUGACCGCGGCUGCCGGAUCUGUGAACAGGGGAGUUUGAGAGAGAGCCGAGGGAAAGAUGGGCUGAGUACAUCUGAGGGUGUCGGAAACGGUGGCUUGGCUGCUGUUGCCGGAAGGUCGAGAGAGAGACGGAGGAAGGCGGUGGCGGUACCUAUCUCCGUUGCCAAGGAAGAGAGGCGGCGGCGCUAGUGCCGUCGUGGUGGUUCAGGGAGGCUAGGUCGGCGGCAGUUCUUCACUGUUGUCCGUUCGGCGCGUAGAGAGAAAGGAAGGGAGAGAACGGCGGCGGCCAUGGCUGUUCUGUGGUCGCCAGAUUCGAGAGGAAGGAGUCGAUUUUGAGGUGUGGGUUUCGAAGGUGAGAGAGAGAGAUGGAAGGUGCGGUCAACGGCGGUGACUCCGCCGUUGUUCUAUUCAGAGGAAGAGGGAGAAGUGGAGGCGGCCGAUUUGGGUUCUCGGUCAGUCGAGGGAGAUGGUGAGGCUGGUCGGAUUCUGGUGCGUGUCGAGGGAGAGAGAUUUGAGAGAGAGAGUGUCUGUGUUUUUUUGUGUAGUCGAGAGAGAGAGAGAGCGAAGUUGGGGAAGAAGAAGAAGAAAGGUUUUGGGCUUGGCUGAUGGGCUUAAUUUUAAUUUCAGUUGGGCUUGAGUUGGCCGGGUUAUUUUUAAUUUGGGUCCGUAGUCUAGUUGGGUCGUAUUUUUAUGAGUGUUGGGCCGAGUCUAUUGGGCCGAGUUUGUUUAAUUAUUUUUCAGUUGGGCCUUUAUUUUAAUAAAACAGAUGAGCCUUAUUUAAAUACCAUUUGGAUCAGUUUUAUUUAAACUUGGGCUGCCAUUUUUUUAAUGGGCUGCGAAAUUUUUUAAAAAAAGAGGAGGUCCUUGAUUUAAUUAUUUUAAAUGGGCUGCCCAAUUAUUGAUUUAAUUGGAUUGUGCAGAUUUGUUUUAAAGAGCUACACUAUUAUAAUUAAUUAGACUUAGUAAGUUGAUUAAUUAUUUUAAUUUUCAUAAUAAUAUUAAUUUAUUAUUAUGUGCAUAUUUUAAGUAAAUUACUUAUUAUAUGCUAAGCAUGACAUGAAAUUGCAUUUAUUUUGCAAUAAAAGUAUUUAAUUGGCUUAAAAUUAUAAAAUCCAAUUAUUAAAGAAAGAUGAGUAAGGAUAUUGUUGGUGUUCUUAACUCAAGAGAAUUAUUUUACUAUUAUUUUAUUCUAUUUUAAAUUUUCGAAAACCCGGCUAAGUUGAAAUCAUAGAAUAUUAAGCACUACACCAUGACUUAAGAUUAGAUUCAAGGAGACCUAUUGAGAAUAGAUUUCUUGUAGGCUUUGAGCAAUCAAAAGGAUUAGCACUGCUAUUCCGAUUCAGAGAUAAGGUUAAACGACAGGCUUUGCCUAUCCAGGUGGGCAUUAUUUUAUUAUUACGUAUAUAGAGAUCCCCUGCGUGACGUAGGCCUCAUAUGCGAAUAUAUAUGCAUGAUAUGUUUUGACUAUUUAUUCAGUUCUUAUGAAAUGCUUAUAUGUUUAAUGCCCUUUAUGAAAAUGAAAAUGUUAUGAAAAUGAAAUGUUUAUGAAAUGAUUGACUGCCAAAAUGUUUAUGUUUUUAUAUGUAUCCUAUCUGUGUUGGUUCGCCAACUUUAAAGGAAAUCCAAUUGGGAUCCUAUGCUAGACAAAGGUCGCUAGCUAGGGUUAACGUGUACACUUAUGGAGACCGCGAGUCGCUUGCGACCGGUCUUGGCGUCCGUGGUAAGGAGGCCUCCUUCCCGGCGCGUGACAGAAAGGAACAGAUAUGGAUCAUAUGAAGGAAAAUGAUCGGCCGAUCGACUUUAUGAAAAUGAAAGAAAUAUUUUAGUAAGCACAGGUCAUUUAAGAAAACCCCUGUGUGUUACUGUUAUGGCAGUUCAAUUUAUAUAUGUAUGCAUGUUGUAUUUUCGGCUAUGCCCACUGAGUAUUUUUAUACUCAGCCCUGCAUGUAUUUCUAAAUGUGCAGGUUGAGCAGUUGAUGGAAUGGAAUGAUGUUGAGCGGGUGUUCCUUUGACAUUUCAAGAAAUGUAACCUUGAGUAUACAUCUUCAUAUGUAUAUCUCACACGUUUUCCGCUGCAAAACACUUUGAUUAGGAUAACUUUAUGUUAUGAAAUUGUGACACGUGUUAUUGGGUAACCCACCUUAAUCAGUUCCCAUUUAUGUGUAUGUUUUAUAAGUAUCCAAAUAAUCAUAUAUAAUCCUAGCAUUUUAUCUAUGAGUGACAUUUCCAUAUACUUUAAUGUUAAGUAAUUGUCCAUUUCCAUUUCUUAUUGUUCACCCCAAGUCAUAACCCCUGUUAACCCG
rnacentral:lncRNA from 1 species